rnacentral:rRNA from 1 species
AGUGAACGCUGGCGGUAGGCCUAACACAUGCAAGUCGAACGGCAGCACAGUAAGAGCUUGCUCUUACGGGUGGCGAGUGGCGGACGGGUGAGGAAUACAUUGGAAUCUACUUUUUCGUGGGGGAUAACGUGGGGAAACUUACGCUAAUACCGCAUACGACCUACGGGUGAAAGCAGGGGAUCUUCGGACCUUGCGCGAUUGAAUGAGCCGAUGUCGGAUUAGCUAGUUGGCGGGGUAAAGGCCCACCAAGGCGACGAUCCGUAGCUGGUCUGAGAGGAUGAUCAGCCACACUGGAACUGAGACACGGUCCAGACUCCUACGGGAGGCAGCAGUGGGGAAUAUUGGACAAUGGGCGCAAGCCUGAUCCAGCCAUACCGCGUGGGUGAAGAAGGCCUUCGGGUUGUAAAGCCCUUUUGUUGGGAAAGAAAAGCAGCAGGUUAAUACCCCGCUGUUCUGACGGUACCCAAAGAAUAAGCACCGGCUAACUUCGUG